UACGUAGGGGGCAAGCGUUGUCCGGAUUUAUUGGGCGUAAAGAGCGCGUAGGCGGUCAGUUAGGUCCGUUGUGAAAACUCGAGGCUCAACCUCGAGACGCCGAUGGAAACCAUUUGGCUAGAGUCCGGAAGAGGAGAGUGGAAUUCCUGGUGUAGCGGUGAAAUGCGCAGAUAUCAGGAAGAACACCGAUGGCGAAGGCAGCUCUCUGGGACGGUACUGACGCUGAGACGCAAAAGCGUGGGGAGCGAACAGG
rnacentral:rRNA from 1 species